GGAGCAGCCUGGUCUCCAAGGAGGAAUAGCAUCCAAUGGCGGUUUUCUGUUUCGGCUGCCAAAUAGCAGAGAGAGCUUUAGCAUAAGUAUUACUUCAGAGGUAAAAGCAGAGGGUCAGUAGGUUUUCUGGACCAGACCCUGAACUAAGAACUUACUGUGGUAUUCGGAACAGAGUGCAGUAACAGCCAGCCAGUUCAAAUGGGUUUGAAAGGUGUACUCAUUUUUAUCUCUGAGGAUGUUCAAAUGCAAGAUCCUUGACUGUGGAAGUUGGAACUGCACUCACUCUUACUUAGAGGUCUGUCUGCAUAUUAGUAACUUGGACUGAACUGUAGUUAACUGUGCUAGAUGCUGCAUAAGCAUGCAUGAAAAUAUGGUUCUUGUUCCUGAUUAAUGCACUGAAGAUUAAAUUGGAAGAGUGCUGUUUCAGUUCAUUUUGUGAGCUUAUGCAGAAAACAUUGCUAAAGCAUGUGAAUUCUUUCAGCAGAUUAUCUCUGCCCACUGAUAAUGUAACAUGGCACAACAUGAAAACUUCUUUCUCUGCUCAAGAAGAAAAGCAGGAAUGGCAAGGGACCAAAGUGGAACCACCCUCUGAGAAUCUCCAUCACUGAUCCACAUCUCUAAAAUACCAAUAUAUUUCACUUUUCCUUCACAAUAUAAACUGUUGUGUACUACAUCAAGAUCGAUGGAUUUUCAUACUUUCAGGCUUCAUAAUAACAGAAAUAAUAAUAAACUAGUCUGACAUUUUA